rnacentral:rRNA from 1 species
UACGGAGGGUGCAAGCGUUGUCCGGAAUCACUGGGCGUAAAGGGCGCGUAGGCGGCCUGGUAAGUAGGGGGUGAAAUCCUGCGGCUUAACCGCAGGGCUGCCUUCUAAACUGUCAGGCUUGAGCACGGUAGAGGCAGAUGGAAUUCCCGGUGUAGCGGUGGAAUGCGUAGAGAUCGGGAAGAACAUCAGUGGCGAAGGCGGUCUGCUGGGCCGUUGCUGACGCUGAUGCGCGAAAGCCAGGGGAGCGAACGGG